ACAUACCAAUUGUUGCCUCGGCGGAUCAGCCCGCUCCCGGUAAAACGGAACGGCCCGCCAGAGGACCCCUAAACUCUGUUUCUAUAUGUAACUUCUGAGUAAAACCAUAAAUAAAUCAAAACUUUCAACAACGGAUCUCUUGGUUCUGGCAUCGAUGAAGAACGCAGCAAAAUGCGAUAAGUAAUGUGAAUUGCAGAAUUCAGUGAAUCAUCGAAUCUUUGAACGCACAUUGCGCCCGCCAGUAUUCUGGCGGGCAUGCCUGUUCGAGCGUCAUUUCAACCCUCAAGCCCCCGGGUUUGGUGUUGGGGAUCGGCGAGCCUCACGGCAAGCCGGCCCCGAAAUACAGUGGCGGUCUCGCUGCAGCUUCCAUUGCGUAGUAGUAAAACCCUCGCAACUGGUACGCGGCGCGGCCAAGCCGUUAAACCCCCAACUUCUGAAUGUUGACCUCGGAUCAGGUAGGAAUACCCGCUGAACUUAAGCAUAUCAAUAAGCGGAGGAAUUUUCCCUCUCUUUU
rnacentral:rRNA from 1 species